rnacentral:lncRNA from 1 species
AUGGCGACCAGAGGGCAGGAAGCCUGACAGCCUUGUGUGACCAAUCCCAGACCUCCAGCGGCUGCAUCCUUUCCUUCCUCCAACCCACUUCAAGGCUCUUAGUGUGGAUUUUUCUUUUUGGUUUUGCUUUGCAUUUCAGUCAUUUGAGCUGGUGCCUGUCUCCCUGGCCCUCCCUCUCCUUGGGCUCAGGGGGUGUGUCUGGUUUAUCCUUGUCCAGCUGACAGCCUCCACACUGGCCCAUGCACACAGCAGGGAGGGACUCCUCAAAUCCUGUCAUUGAAGGGAGCUGGGGGAGUGAUAACAAGGGCUGAGGAGCAAGGGGGUCCGGUGACUCAGUGCUGAGGGUCUCCUGGACCCUUAUCUACAAAGCUGCUCCUUAGAAGGGUCCAGUGGCACAGCUUCGACCAACGCGGGAGGUGAGGCUUAAGAAGGCAAACACCUUUCAGCUGCUCAAGUUGUGAGCGCUGGCGGCUGAGGCUUCCCAUUUGCCAGCCAUGAGACCUUGGAUGGCUUCUCCCCUCUCUGUGUUUGCUAAGUGAGGAUCAGAGCAUCCUCCUCUUAGGAUUGUGAGGGUUGCCAUCUCCGACUUGAACAUCGGGGCUGAGACGUAAAGUGAGCCCAGUUUCCCUCUCACGCCUCCCGCGUCUGCACCUGCCAAUGCACUGCUUUCUGCAGUGGAGGGCUCUGCUUCUAUUUUAAGGGCCAGGGCUUCUAUGAUUCGGGCUGCCUGAAGGGCCUGGCUGUUCUCAGAACAAUCCAGGCCCCAUGAAAAGCUGUUCUGCGGACGUCACUGGGUGUGGCUCCACCUGCGUAGUUCCCGGAGGAGAGCCGCUUCCAGGAGGCAGUCUUGGCCUUGGCCUCUGUGACCUCACCUCAGGGCGCACGAAGAGACGAAUGCCUUCGGCCUCUGAGAUGCUGAAUGGACCUAACUGGUGGUUCGCUGGCUCCGUGAUCGCUCCCGCACUUGUAAGAGCCUGCGUCCCCGGGUUCCCCAUCUUUGCGGUUCCCCGCGCCGCGUAGCCGUCGGAGCUGGAGGACGCACCGGUUCAAGCGCCGGCAGCCCGCCCCGGGACCCCGUACCCUGCGCUCCGGGAGGCCCCCCUUCCCCAGCUGCUCCCCCUCCCUUGGUGCCCAGCUCUGGAGCGCAAGCUGAGGGAUUGGGAGGGGCGGGGCGGGGGCGGUGCCUGAGGGCGGGCCCGGGGCGUUGGCCGGAGGGGCGGGGAGGGGGCGGAGCCAGGGAGGGGCGCGAGCGCGCGAGGACUGGGAGAGGGAGCGGGAUUGGGCGAGGGCCGGGGCGUUGGCAGGGG